ensembl:lncRNA
CUCAUCACACGCGGAAGCGGACCUUGCCCGCCACUUCCUGACUACACGUACUCAAUUGCGAGGGCGGAUUCGGAAGGAGCUCUACGUUAAUGGCCGCAUGAUGGUUCUCCGAUUGACUGCUGAAGACCCUGGCCUGCUCCAGAACUCCAUCGUCUUCUGUCUGGAGCAGCUUUCCCUGGUGAUGCGGUCCUUGCAGGACUAUGGGGCCCCCGUUUCUCGGCACAGAAGAGGGGUUUAAACCUACCCUGUGUGCCGUAGCUUCAGGUGUCAUUCCCCAGGGCAUUGCUUUCUGCAGUACUUUGAUCGGGCUUCAUCUCAUGUCUGUGCUGCUUUUGGGGGCUCAGUGUCUACAUAGUUUGUUUGGUGAUUGUUAACUGCAGAAAAUAAAACUAAGCUUUUGUGCUGUCUCUGACUUUAUUUUUGGCUUCUGCACUUCCUCAUACUGCAUUUGUCUUUCAGUUGGAGGGGAGGUUCUGAGAUCCAGGUAUUCGAGGACUACAACAUAAUUGAAGACAAUGUAAGAAGUGGG